rnacentral:lncRNA from 1 species
GGACUCAGAAGGGUCUCGUGAGAGGUCAUACAGCAGUGGAGGGUCAUGAUGGGUCACGCCUUCCCCAAAACAUGGGCAAAAUCCUCUGUCGUAACAAGCUCCAGCCCCGAGUGGAUGGAAGUUUGGGGUCACAUAAUGAGCCUUCCAAAUGGCUCCACUGUCCUUCUGGUGCCAUCGCACAGCAUGUAAAUGAGUGCCACAAUAAUGAAACAGGAACUUGUGCUCUGAGUGCUCAACUGUUCCUUGCAGUAAAGGCAUCAGAUCCCGG